rfam:Oryza meridionalis cultivar OR44 (W2112) chromosome 5, whole genome shotgun sequence.
AAUAAGUGUAAGUUUAUACUAUUCAUCUUCAGCAUUUGACCAUUCGUCUUAUUUAAAAAAAUAUGAUUAGUAUUUUUAUUAUUAUUAGAUUAUAAAACAUGAAUAACACUUUAUGUGUAACUAAUUUUUUAGUUUUUUUAUAUAUUUUUUAAAUAAGACGGAUGGUAAAACGUUGGAAACAGAUACCUACGACUAUACUUAUU